rnacentral:rRNA from 1 species
UACGGAGGGUGCAAACGUUGCUCGGAAUCAUUGGGCGUAAAGCGCACGUAGGCGGCGCGUUAAGUCGGAUGUGAAAGCCCCGGGCUCAACCCGGGAAGUGCAUACGAAACUGGCGCGCUUGAAUAUGGAAGAGGAUCGCGGAAUUCCCGGUGUAGAGGUGAAAUUCGUAGAUAUCGGGAGGAACACCGGUGGCGAAGGCGGCGAUCUGGGUAGAUACUGACGCUGAGGUGCGAAAGCGUGGGGAGCAAACAGG